rnacentral:rRNA from 1 species
AACGAACGCUGGCGGCAUGCCUAACACAUGCAAGUCGAACGAGAUCUUCGGGUCUAGUGGCGCACGGGUGCGUAACGCGUGGGAAUCUGCCCUUUGGUUCGGAAUAACAGUUGGAAACGACUGCUAAUACCGGAUGAUGACGAAAGUCCAAAGAUUUAUCGCCAGAGGAUGAGCCCGCGUAGGAUUAGCUAGUUGGUGUGGUAAAGGCGCACCAAGGGGACGAUCCUUAGCUGGUCUGAGAGGAUGAUCAGCCACACUGGGACUGAGACACGGCCCAGACUCCUACGGGAGGCAGCAGUGGGGAAUAUUGGACAAGGGGCGAAAGCCUGAUACAGCAAUGCCGCGUGAGUGAUGAAGGCCUUAGGGUUGUAAAGCUCUUUUACCCGGGAUGAUAAUGACAGUACCGGGAGAAUAAGCUCCGGCUAACUCCGUGCCAGCAGCCGCCGUAA